UCCCUGGAGCCAGCUGCUACCUGAGCACCCCUGGGCCACCGCUAGUCCACUCUGCAUGAAGUCUGGGCUGACUCUGGCCCUGCAGUGGCCCUGCAGGGAAGUCCCACCGUGGGCUUUCCCUGGCAGCUGCGGCUGCUGCCGGGCCCCACGUGCUCGGUGGGGCCCAGCACCAGAGCCAGGGGAUCCCUGCAAGCCAAGUGCGGAUUUCUGGGGGAUGAUAUGAUCCAGGCUGAAUGACCUAAUGGGGAAAGCACACAGGGGACCUCCUCAAAGGCUUGCUUGUCCCUGUGCUGGGCAGAGACACCGGUGUGGCUGCCAGCCCCCACCUCAAGCCCUGCAGAGCUUCUGAGUCCAUCUCAGCAGGGGGUGAGGAACUGGGCCAAGGCCGUGAGCAGAAGAAUCUUGUAAGAUCCUCGGGUGUCUGAUGACCUCUUAACCUUCCAUGUCUGCUCUCUGUAGUGAUCCUAAGCACUGUUGAGGACCUGGAUGACCCUCAUGGAUGCACUGCCAUUUGGUGACAUGAAGAAAACCCGUGGCCCUGAAGUGGGGCUGCUGCCCUACCAGCCCUCGCCCCUGACCAGCCUCUAUCCCCUAGAGGAAUACCAGCCUUUCAGAGUUGUCAUGAAGUUGAAGUCAUUCAAGCCAAAAGUGCCCACCACAUAGUAGGUAUUCAAUGCAUAUUUCUUGAAUAAAUAUGAAUAACAUAUAGCACUUUAGAGGGACUGUCACAGACAUUUUAAUCCCCUGAUGUUGUGUCACUGUCCCUGCUUCCCUCUGACCAUGGGAAGUAUCACUGACCCCCAUUACACAGUUGAAAACAACAGCCACUUCCUUGGAAGGCUGAGCUCUGUACACAACCAUGCAGAGAGCUAUAAUCCUGCCGUUAACCAGAAUAAGAGCAUUUGCCCUCAAAUGUCUAUGCUCCCAUUUUCAAAGUGUGGCCUGUGAAUCCCAUUAACCAAAUUCCCUUAGAAGAUACAGGCUGAUCUCAGACUGAACUGAUCUCUGGAGGUGGGGUCUGGGAAUGCACGUUUGGAACAAAUGCAACUUCACCAGGAUUGGCAAGGUCUGGGGGGUCACUGUGCCUGCUGGUCCUGCAGCCUGAACCACCCAGGCUCAGGUGGACGAAAGGCUCCUUCACUCUCUGUCCCCUUCCUAUUUUGUUUUCUGUCAUCGUUAUGACCUGACAUUAUAUUCCAUUUAAUGUUUGUAUGCUCAUUAUCUGGCUCUCCUACUAAAACAGAAGCUGCAGGAACAUGUCUGAUUCACUGUUGCACCUUUCGUGGCCAGAGCAGCACCUUCUAUAUAGUGGCUAUUAGAUAAUUAGUAGUUAAAUGAGCAGCUGCUCUGUGCCCUGGAAGACUCUAGUGGUCAUGAGUGCUGUUUGCCAAAUAUUCCCAGUGUUUUCCCAUUCUGAGCAGACCUGCCCUUCUUGCUGCCUUUGUGCAGGAUGAGCUGGCCUAUGGGCUGUGCAAGCAAGUGACUGGAGCUUCUAAAGGGUGAGGCAGGAUCCCCUAGGCUCUCGGUUUCCCUGUGGCAUGGAAGCUCAGCAGGGGGUUGCAGGACAGCCUUGAAACCACUCACUCAAUGGAGGAACCAACACGCUCUGGGACCGCCUCCGAAGUAACCUCACGCACUGGCCACAUGCUCAAGGUCACUGUCAUAAUCCUUCCCCUUGGUCAAAAAUAAAAACAGCACACCCACUCUUCUGGGAAUGAGUCACACACAGAAAGAGUCAAUGGCACCGAGCCGAGAGGAUCUGUUGACGUGGGGGAAAAUCUCCCAGUACAAGUGUCUCAGCAGAUGCUGUAGUCUGACUCCUGUAGCUUGCAUGACCAAAGAUAAU